rnacentral:rRNA from 1 species
UACGAAGGGGGCUAGCGUUGCUCGGAAUCACUGGGCGUAAAGGGUGCGUAGGCGGGUCUUUAAGUCAGGGGUGAAAUCCUGGAGCUCAACUCCAGAACUGCCUUUGAUACUGAAGAUCUUGAGUUCGGGAGAGGUGAGUGGAACUCCGAGUGUAGAGGUGAAAUUCGUAGAUAUUGGGAAGAACACCGGUGGCGAAGGCGGCUCUCUGGACCGAGACUGACGCUGAGGCGCGAAAGCGUGGGGAGCAAACAGG